rnacentral:rRNA from 1 species
AACGCGAAGAACCUUACCUACCCUUGACAUGGUCGGAACCCUGCUGAAAGGUGGGGGUGCUCGAAAGAGAACCGGCGCACAGGUGCUGCAUGGCUGUCGUCAGCUCGUGUCGUGAGAUGUUGGGUUAAGUCCCGCAACGAGCGCAACCCUUGUCCUUAGUUGCUACGCAAGAGCACUCUAGGGAGACUGCCGGUGACAAACCGGAGGAAGGUGGGGAUGACGUCAAGUCCUCAUGGCCCUUAUGGGUAGGGCUUCACACGUCAUACAAUGGUCGGAACAGAGGGUUGCCAAGCCGCGAGGCGGAGCCAAUCCCAGAAAACCGAUCGUAGUCCGGAUCGCAGUCUGCAACUCGACUGCGUGAAGCUGGAAUCGCUAGUAAUCGCGGAUCAGCAUGCCGCGGUGAAUACGUUCCC